rnacentral:rRNA from 1 species
GACGAACGCUGGCGGCGUGCUUAACACAUGCAAGUCGAACGGAAAGGCCCUUCGGGGUACUCGAGUGGCGAACGGGUGAGUAACACGUGGGUGAUCUGCCCUGCACUUCGGGAUAAGCCUGGGAAACUGGGUCUAAUACCGGAUAUGACCGCAUGAUGCAUGUUGUGUGGUGGAAAGCUUCUGCGGUGUGGGAUGGGCCCGCGGCCUAUCAGCUUGUUGGUGGGGUCAAGGCCUACCAAGGCGACGACGGGUAGCCGGCCUGAGAGGGUGACCGGCCACACUGGGACUGAGAUACGGCCCAGACUCCUACGGGAGGCAGCAGUGGGGAAUAUUGCACAAUGGGCGCAAGCCUGAUGCAGCGACGCCGCGUGAGGGACGACGGCCUCGG